UCUGAAUCUGGCGUACGGCUCCGCAAACCAGUUGUAAACUAUAGCAAGUUCGCCCCGGUGCUGGCCGUAAGGUUGGUGCUGGGGUUAAAUGGAUAACCGUGGUAAUUCUGAGGCUAAUACAUGAACGUACCCCCUGAUCAACUGGGUAACCGGGAGGUUGGGGACAGUGCGGUCAGUCGCAGAUAUUGCUGGGAAUAGACGCACUUUCAAACCACCAUACCAAACGGUUGGGGUGCUGACCUUCGGGGAGGCGCCCUUUCUGGGUGGGCCUUGCUUUGUGCUUCUGACCUAUCAACUAGAUGGCAGCGUAACGGACAUGCUAUGGUACAACGGUACAGAG
rnacentral:rRNA from 1 species